rnacentral:misc_RNA from 1 species
UACGGAGGAUCCAAGCGUUAUCCGGAAUCAUUGGGUUUAAAGGGUCCGUAGGCGGGAUAAUAAGUCAGUGGUGAAAGUCUGCAGCUCAACUGUAGAAUUGCCAUUGAUACUGUUGUUCUUGAGUGUUUAUGAAGUGGUUAGAAUAUGUAGUGUAGCGGUGAAAUGCAUAGAUAUUACAUAGAAUACCGAUUGCGAAGGCAGAUCACUAAUAAAAUACUGACGCUGAGGGACGAAGCCCUGGGGCGCAAACCGG